GAUGAACGCUGGCGGCGUGCCUAAUACAUGCAAGUCGAGCGAACGGACGAGAAGCUUGCUUCUCUGAUGUUAGCGGCGGACGGGUGUGUAACACGUGGAUAACCUACCUAUAAGACUGGGAUAACUUCGGGAAACCGGAGCUAAUACCGGAUGAUAUUUUGAACCGCAUGGUUCAAAAGUGAAAGACGGUCUUGCUGUCACUUAUAGAUGGAUCCGCGCUUCAUUAGCUAGUUGGUAAGGUAACGGCUUACCAAGGCAACGAUGCAUAGCCGACCUGAGAGAGUGGUAGGCCACACUGGAACUGAGACACGAACCAGGCUACUACGGGAGGCAGCAGUAGGGAAUCUUACGCAAUGGGCGAAAGCAUGACGGAGCAACGCCGCGUGAGUGAUGACGGUCUUCGGAUCGUAAAGAUCUGUUAUUAGGGAAGAACAUAUGUGUAAGUAGCUGUGCACAUCUUGACGGUACCUAGUCAGAAAGCAACGGCUAACUACGUG
rnacentral:rRNA from 1 species